CCCAAAUGUUCCUCAAACACGUUCAAAGCUUCUUCUUCAAACGGCAAACCAAGGGCAGACUCUCCUCCUCCUCCCCACAACGGAGCUUCAUUCCGCCACAGUGAUCACCGGAGUUAUUUUUAGAGCCUGAAAAAGAUGCCGAAUCCGCCGUUAGUCUAGUGUCACAAUCUCAAGCUGUGAUGCAGAAUUGCAGAUAGAUGGUUUUGAAUACUUAAAAGAAAACUUCCCUACUGGCUUGACUGAAUUCUUGGAGUAUAUGGCUAGAGUUGGUG